GGUGUUGGUAGAGAAGGUGAGUGUAUUUUGCUGGAGAUCCCUGCCUACAGGAGGUCUUCCAGAGCUACCCGUGACCAAAAUGGAUGGAGCAGUGAGUCACCUACCAGACAGCAUUAGAGCUGUGGCAACAAGAGACCAGAUGUAACUUCUGCCCUGUAUCUCCUUUCCAGACCACAGAAGUACAGCAUAUCGAAUUUGCUUUGACUUGCACAAGCUACAAAUCCUGCUGCUUUCAAGUAACUGCUGUGCUGUUGGCUGUGAAAGCAAGAGAACAGCUUCUGCAGAUGAAAGGCCAGCGAUGAUAGCACUGGAAUGUGACCUCGGACGUUUAUCAGAAUGACAUUGUAUGUCAGAUGAUACAGCAUCCUUAUUUUUCCAACCACUUUUGGCCUGGAAUCAGGUCAGUACAAGAUGGGUGCAUAUAUCGCCAUGCUAUGCACACAUCCAUAAAUGGCAUAUCCUUCAUUAAGACUUGUGAUAGGAAGUUACUUUUGUUAAUAUGAAAUAGGUUUCAUUUCAGUAGCCCUCCUUUGUGUUGUCAUUUACCACCUUCUUUUGUCACUUAUAACAUGUUUAAAAGUUUGCUCAAAGGAAACCACUUGGAUUAGAAAGAUCAACUGUUCUGUCUGAUAAAUAAUAAUAAUAAUAAUUUUAAAAAUUGAAACAAAUAUCAAAUAUGGAUCAUUUUCUUGCUAUUGAUCAAGGCCAUUCUUCUGCUUAACACACCAGGGUCUCAUAAACUGUAAAUGAUUAUUCCUUCUUGCA